CUAGAAGUAGAGCCUUGAGAAAACAAAGUGUGGUUAGCUAUCUGGUUGUUCAAAUUUACUUCAACAUCACUCAAUGAAAGAAUGUUGGUAGACACAUAUUGCUGUUCAGCAGAGAGGUGAGAAGGCCCAGGACCGGCACUAAUUGCAGAUGACCAUCCAUGAUCUGUUUUACAUUCACUCCGACUAACAUUAUUCUGCGUACCGGAGGAGCUGGAUUCUCCUAAAUUCCAGCCAAUUAUAUUCUGUCUUUCUUGGUUUACAGGACUAAGAAACUGUAUGUUUGUCUCAUUAGAAGGUACCAUAUAAUCUGGUAGCCUACUUUGUGCAGGAUUCCGCAAAUUAUUCCAACAAAUCUGCUGAUCUAUACUGCCAUCACUCGAUGUUGAACCAUGAUUGAAACUCAAAGUUUCUGGCAGGGAACCGAUGGUACUCCGUUGCCCUUGCAUUAGGCCUAUACUCAAUUCACAAUCUCCAAUAGAAUUUGAGAUUGUAGUACUACAAGCAGGGCCUCAAACUACAGCUAAGAAGACCUGAAACAAAGUCCAAAACAUACUUUUGACAUAACCACUCCUUAAUCUGAGUAAAUCAGGUAAAUUAAGGGAGCACAUUAAUAAUAGGACGUCAGAAUCAAAAUUCAUGUUUGCAUAUUCUGAUAUAGUAGGUAAGGAAAUACAUGGGAAAAGAACACGUUUUUAUGAAAGAAAUUCACUCCGACUAACAUUAUUUUGUGUACCGGAGGAGCUGGAUUCUCCUAAAUUCCAGCCAAUUAUAUUCUGUCUUUCUUGGUUUACAGGACUAAGAAAUGGUAUGUUUGUCUCAUUAGAAGGUACCAUAUAAUCUGGUAGCCUACUUUGUGCAGGAUUCCGCAAAUUAUUCCAACAAAUCUGCUGAUCUAUACUGCCAUCACUCGAUGUUGAACCAUGAUUGAAACUCAAAGUUUCUGGCAGGGAACCGAUGGUACUCCGUUGCCCUUGCAUUAGGCCUAUACUCAAUUCACAAUCUCCAAUAGAAUUUGAGAUUGUAGUACUACAAGCAGGGCCUCAAACUACAGCUAAGAAGACCUGAAACAAAGUCCAAAACAUACUUUUGACAUAACCACUCCUUAAUCUGAGUAAAUCAGGUAAAUUAAGGGAGCACAUUAAUAAUAGGACGUCAGAAUCAAAAUUCAUGUUUGCAUAUUCUGAUAUAGUAGGUAAGGAAAUACAUGGGAAAAGAACACGUUUUUAUGAAAGAAACAUUAAUUUGGUGAUGAGCUCAGAGACAAGCCUUAAUCACCGCAUUGAUAUAUGACCUAAUCUAUUUGAUGCCCCAAGUUAAAACAUAUCACCCUGCUGAGAUAUCUUUCUAAGUUGCGUAGCAACGAGAUUUUAUAAGCCAUAUAUGGAUACCAAAAACAAGACUUUGUGAUGUUUAUCACCUUAAACAUCACAAAGAGUAGAAAACAAGGGAUAGAUUAUUGUCUUGAACACAAACAUAAACUUUGCCAUACAAUGAAUGUAGCUGAUUUCAGUUAGACUGAGGCAACAAGAAAAUUCUUAACAACAACACAACUAGUAUAAUCCCACAAGUGGGGCAUGGGGAGGGUAGUGUGUACACAGACCAUAUCCCUACCUCAAGAAGGUAGAAAGGCAGUUUCCGAUGAACCCUUGGCCCAAGAAACACAUAAAGAAAAGGGCAGCUCAGUGCACUAAGCUCCCGCUAUGCGUGAGGUCGGGGAAGGAGCGGACCACAAUGAUCUAUUGUACGCAGCCUUCCCCGCAUUUUUGCAAGAGGCUGUUAAUAACAGAGAAUUCUCAUCAACAAGAAUUUGAAAUUUUGAAGAGCUAGAUAGCACACGAUUUCGUGUACCAAAUACCAGUAUAUAAAAGUCUAGACAAUAGCAGCAUUUUAAUUGAAGCAAAGGCAAAAUGGAGCAAUCACCAACUAGAAACCAGCUUAACACUAGAGAAAAAUAGGGCCUCCCCUUAUCCAAAAACAUUUCGGGUUAAAAUUAAACAUAUACUUACCAAUAAUCACGGACUCAAAAAUAAAUAUACUGCAAACUUCAGAAAAUCCAAUAUCCAUGAUCAAAAAAUAUCUCUCUAAAACCAUUAAAAAUCAGAUCUUUACUAGUAAAAAUUAUCGAACAUCAAAAAAAGUUGUAUUCUUCAAUAGAAGAAGGUGGUUAACGCAACCCCCUCUAAAUCAACUCAAUGUAGAACCAUGAACAGUCAAAAAAUUAUAUAUAGUAAAGCUAAAAACUUUAUUUUUCAGCUUAAUUUCCUGGAAAAAGAGGAGCCUUUGAAGCAUUAAACGCAUACAGUCAAAUAAGAAAAAAUAGAACCUUUUAUACAGCAAAACCAAGGGAAAAUAUUCAUUAAAACAUAUAUCUCAAAUAAAUAAAAAAGCAUUUGCAGAUAAACACCGAAUCAACAUGAUAAAAUCAAAAACUUGAAACAAAGAAAGAAAAACCCAAUGAGAAAGCAACCAAAAAAAAAAAGAUCGGCUAACAGAGGAAAAAGUAUAAGAAUUUUACCUGCAAAACUACACCAGAUGAAGCAACAGAUCUAAGGUUACCACCUGAAAACCCAAAAGAAACGUUAGACAAAAAUGGUUGAUAAAUCUUUUACCUUUCUAUAGAAAACCCAGAUAAAAGAACAAGAAAAACAUACAAAAAGAAUCACCUCUUAACAAGAAAUGAAUGAAGAAAAGAAGAAGUGAGAAAACACCAAAGAGGAAAUGGGAAAACAAGAAUGAGAGAGAGAGAGAGAGAGAGAGAGAGAGAAAGAGAAAUGAAAAGAGAGGUGGCCUGACCUGGUAGACUAAAGAGAGGGGACAGUAAUCUUUAACACAAAAAACACACCCUUUAAUAAAAAAAGAUUUAUGACCCCAAAAAUCAAUCAGUUUCCAAACAGAGAAUUAAAUGAAAUGGAAGGGGAAAAGAAAAGAAAAGAAAAGAAAAGAAAAGAGAUAAACAGAGGUAAAUGGUAAGAGAAAAAAGGGAAAAAAAGAAAUGAAAUGAAUAAAGAAAUAAGUUGUUGUCUGAUACUGCUUACCAAAUGGCUUCAAAAAAAGUAGUACAGUAAAU
rnacentral:lncRNA from 1 species